rnacentral:rRNA from 1 species
AUGCAGUUGGUUCGUACUGGGAACACGACCUUUAAUAUUAAUGGGGAGGUUGGACCCUACUUUCAGUCCUCGAGAGGAGUACAGCAGGGAGACCUCAUCUCCCCUCUUCUCUUCAACCUUGCGGUUAAUGCCCUUCCUAGCAUUCUAGACAAGGCUAGACUGGCUGGCCACCUGAAAGGGGUGGUUAGUCACUUGAUCCCUAGUGGAGGUGUCACUCAUCUGCAAUAG